rnacentral:rRNA from 1 species
GACGAACGCUGGCGGCGUGCCUAAUACAUGCAAGUCGAACGCAGUGGGGACGGGUGAGUAACACGUGGGUAACCGCCCAUCAGAGGGGAUAACACUUGGAAACAGGUGCUAAACCGAUAUUGUUGGAUGGACGCGGGGGGCAUUAGCUAGUUGGUGAGGGAACGGCUCACCAAGGCCACGAUCCAUAGCCGACCGGAGAGGGUGAGCGGCCAACCGGGGACUGAGACACGGCCCAGACUCCUACGGGAGGCAGCAGUGGGGAAUAUUGGACAAUGGGCGAAAGCCUGAUCCAGCCAUGCCGCGUGUGUGAAGAAGGUCUUCGGAUUGUAAAGCACUUUAAGUUGGGAGGCGUUACCAACAGAAUAAGCACCGGCUAACUUCGUGCCAGCAGCCGCGGUAAUUC